UCACAGACCAGUCAUACCGACACAAAAGCACAGUUCACAGCCAGGCCUCUGGAGCAAGGUAAUGGACAAUCUAAAUGGGGGAGAUAGAUCUGAAUCAACCUCAGGAAUGGAGAAACCCAAGCCACACCAUGACUCUCCCAUCCAGAGCCUCAGAGGGGUUCCCAGCUCAAAUGAUGCUUGAGUGGAAUUAACAGAGUGCUGGUUGACCAAGGGGCAUGCAGAAGAAAGUUCCAACCUUGAGAGACAGCAGAUGACUGUCCCCACAGUGGGUUGGAGAAGGUCUGUGGAGGAAAGAAGGACUGGGACAUCAAAGGCAGAUGUGGCCGCAAGGCCAAGAACCAGGAGGCCAACAACGCCAACAAGACUGUACGUGUCUUUGUGGAUAGAAAUUGUCACACUAGGAUAAAAACAGACAAGUCUAACGAAACAGCCUCACAAUAUGAAGUAAGAUCAGACAAACCCACAACAAUUUGGAAGUAAUAAACAAUAUUAAUUAAUGCAUUACAUCCCUCCAGAAAGUAGAUAAAAACAAAGGAGGGCCCAGAACGUAACUAGCAAGCAUAAGUUAAUGAGCUCAGAUAGACAGCAGCCUGCAACAAUUCAAGUGUAUGUGUGUGUUCUUUAUAUAUAUUUAUAUUUAAGUU
rnacentral:lncRNA from 1 species